UUCACAGUUGCCUCAGAAUCCGCUUUUAGCACGGGAGGACGUGUUCUUGAUCCAUUUCGCAGCUCUCUAUCACCCUCUAUGGUGGAAGCUCUCAUCUGUGCACAAAAUUGGUUUCGUUCCCCAUCUCAAAUCAGUCUUACAGAUUAAUUGGAAGAAUUGGAGGAGCUUGAUUCAGUACUUAUGGAAGGAACAAGCAAUAAGGAUGUAACUGUUAUUGAUUGAUGCUUGAAAGCAAGGGUCUCUUUUGCUUGCUUAGUUGGAAAGUUCAUGUUGUUGCUGCUUGUCUUAGAUGGUUUCUAUUUUAUGUUUUUGAGUUUUGAGAUUGAUUAAUGGUCUGUAAUAUGUAUUAAGGCUUAGAUUUAGACACAUCGUUUUAUGGUUGGAUUGGAUAUAUGGUUGGUUGAUGGCUUAAACUUGCCUUAGAUGGUUUCUAUUUUAUGUAAUGGUCUGUAAUAUUUAUUAAGGUUUAGAUUUAGACACAUAGUUUUAUGGUUGGAUUAGAUAUAUGGUUGGUUGAUGGCUUAGACUUGGAUUUGGAUACAAGGCUUAAACUUUACGAUUGGAUAUAUGUUAUUUUUCAUUUUUUUGUUGGUAUAUGUUAAUAACAGGGCAGGAGCCUCAAACUUAUGCAAGAAUUACAUAGCUUUAGGCCCACAUUUUAUGCAAAUGGAUAAGAAUAUAGGCCCAAAAUGUGAGGCCCAAACCUAUGCAGGAAUUACAUGGCUUGAGGCCCAAAUUUUAUGCAAAUGGAUAAAAAUAUAGGCCCAAUAUGUGAGGCCCCAAACCUAUGCAGGA